AGGAUGAACGCUGGCGGCGUGCUUAACACAUGCAAGUCGAACGGUGAAGCAGGAGCUUGCUCCUGUGGAUCAGUGGCGAACGGGUGAGUAACACGUGAGAAAUCUGCCCUGGACUCUGGGAUAAGCGUUGGAAACGACGUCUAAUACCGGAUACGAGCUUCAGCCGCAUGGCUAGGAGCUGGAAAGAACUUCGGUCCAGGAUGAUCUCGCGGCCUAUCAGCUAGUUGGUGAGGUAACGGCCCACCAAGGCGACGACGGGUAGCCGGCCUGAGAGGGUGACCGGCCACGACCUGGGACUGAGACACGGCCCAGACUCCUACGGGAGGCCAGCAGUGGGGAAUAUUGGCACAAUGGGCGCAAGCCUGAUGCAGCAACGCCGCGUGGAGGACGACGGCCUUCGGUGUAAACCGUCUUUAGAGGAAGAAGCGAAGUGACGUACUGCAGAAAAGCACGACUAAC
rnacentral:rRNA from 1 species